UGAUGCAAACGGUUAAUGCGCUUGGCUGCUAACCAAAAGGUGGAGGUUGGAGUCCUCCCA
rnacentral:tRNA from 1 species